UCCCCGAUAGUAUAAUGGUAGUACAUCAGAUUCUGGCUCUGAUAGUCUAGGUUCGAGCCCUGGUCGGGUAA
rnacentral:tRNA from 1 species